CUUGCUUCUCUUGAGAGCGGCGGACGGGUGAGUAAUGCCUAGGAAUCUGCCUGGUAGUGGGGGAUAACGUUCGGAAACGGACGCUAAUACCGCAUACGUCCUACGGGAGAAAGCAGGGGACCUUCGGGCCUUGCGCUAUCAGAUGAGCCUAGGUCGGAUUAGCUAGUUGGUGGGGUAAUGGCUCACCAAGGCGACGAUCCGUAACUGGUCUGAGAGGGUGAUCAGUCACACUGGAACUGAGACACGGUCCAGACUCCUACGGGAGGCAGCAGUGGGGAAUAUUGGACAAUGGGCGAAAGCCUGAUCCAGCCAUGCCGCGUGUGUGAAGAAGGUCUUCGGAUUGUAAAGCACUUUAAGUUGGGAGGAAGGGUUGUAGAUUAAUACUCUGCAAUUUUGACGUUACCGACAGAAUAAGCACCGGCUAACUCUGUGCCAGCAGCCGCGGUAAUACAGAGGGUGCAAGCGUUAAUCGGAAUUACUGGGCGUAAAGCGCGCGUAGGUGGUUUGUUAAGUUGGAUGUGAAAUCCCCGGGCUCAACCUGGGAACUGCAUUCAAAACUGACUGACUAGAGUAUGGUAGAGGGUGGUGGAAUUUCCUGUGUAGCGGUGAAAUGCGUAGAUAUUAGGGAAGGAACACCAGUGGCGAAGGCGACCACCCUGACUAAUACUGACACUGAGGUGCGAAAGCGUGGGGAGCAACAGGAUU
rnacentral:rRNA from 1 species